rnacentral:lncRNA from 1 species
AGUACAAGUGCAUAAUUCUCCACCAAAGAAUGAAAACAUUGCUAUAACAAAUCCAUCUGUCCUUUACUUUUAGACGAACAGAAGCUAUUAUCUGUGUGCAGGAUAGACAAGGAGAUACAAGGGGCACCUCCUCCUCUACAGCCCAGCUGAACCACUGCCAACACAAGCAGAAAGACAGAUCUCUUUUCAAUUCUCUGUGCUCCUAUGACUGAAUUUGAAAGCCUACCAUCUGCAUGUCCCUCUUAAGUCCUGGAUUUAUCACUCCGGGCACCUUCAUAUCCAAACAGGGCCUAUAUCCUCUGCAUGAAACAGGAAGCAAGCCAAAGGAAUAAGAAGAGAUGUAUGAAGAUAGAAGAGAAGAAGAGAGAUGAAGAAACUGACUUCAGAAAAGAUAAGUGAGUAGCCCACAAUCCCACUUAAAGGGGCAAAGUCGUUCCUGACUCCUAAUAGGUAAUUAUUUUUCUCCCACUAUGUUGCUCCGUUUUAGGCUACAUAUUGUAGGUUACAACCUUUCUUUUUCAAUUAGAUUUUUUUCCUGUCACUCUUAAAGCAUUGUACAUCUCUCUCAUCCUGAUUCUGUCUCUUCUGGGGGAAGUAGCUCAAAUAUCACCUCAUACCCUGUGCUGCACUAUGGCCAGGUUCUCACCUCUCUUUUGGUCCUUAUCACAUCGCUAAAGUGAUGUUUCCACAUCUGGUUCUGACAUAAUAUGAGUACC